AGUGUAUUGCGGAGGUUGUUAUGUUGUGUUGUUGUUUCCUAAGUCUGUUAGUUUCUGUUGUUUACAGGACUAUCCAUCGUACACAACGUUUGGCCAAAACCAGUACGCCCAGUAUUACUCCGCCUCCACCUACGGAACCUACAUGACGUCCAAUAGCAUGGAUGGAACCGGCUCCUCGUCGGCCUAUCAGCUGCAAGACUCCAACCCCGUCAUGACAGUACAGGCCAAUGAGCUCCACCCAGGGGACGCGGUGCAGAGCCCCAUGAAGGAACUGGAUGACCGCGGCUGUCGGAGUGGGGAGGAGCUAAAGCCAGGGGGAGGGGCCGCAAGAACAACCCCUCACCGCCCCCCGACAGUGACCUGGAGAGGGUGUUUGUCUGGGAUCUGGAUGAGACCAUCAUAGUGUUCCACUCUCUGCUGACAGGCUCCUACGCACAGAAAUAUGGCAAGGUGAGCCGCCCCGCCCACUACUACUCAACCCUACUCUAUUCUAUACCCUCUACCCUACUCAACCCUACUCUAUU